CGCCUCCCUCCGCCGCCACUCAGACUCCGUACGGGAGGCGAGCGAGGUGGGGUAAGUUUGUCGACAAGUACGGGGAAACCGUAGGACGCAGCACGCGCGUGGAGGAGUAGAAUCCGUAGGAGUAGGUAACUACCUUCGUAGUAGGGAAGAUAAUGACGGUACCUAUAGAAGAGCCCGGCUAACUUCGUGCCAGCAGCCGCGGUAAUAC
rnacentral:rRNA from 1 species